rnacentral:rRNA from 1 species
UGGCGGCGUGCCUAAUACAUCGCAAGUCGAGCGAAUCGAUGGGAGCUUGCUCCCUGAGAUUAGCGGCGGACGGGUGAGUAACACGUGGGCAACCUGCCUAUAAGACUGGGAUAACUUCGGGAAACCGGAGCUAAUACCGGAUACGUUCUUUUCUCGCAUGAGAGAAGAUGGAAAGACGGCCUCUAGCUGUCACUUAUAGAUGGGCCCGCGGCGCAUUAGCUAGUUGGUGAGGUAAUGGCUCACCAAGGCGACGAUGCGUAGCCGACCUGAGAGGGUGAUCGGCCACACUGGGACUGAGACACGGCCCAGACUCCUACGGGAGGCAGCAGUAGGGAAUCUUCCGCAAUGGACGAAAGUCUGACGGAGCAACGCCGCGUGAACGAAGAAGGCCUUCGGGUCGUAAAGUUCUGUUGUUAGGGAAGAACAAGUACCAGAGUAACUGCUGGUACCUUGACGGUACCU